rnacentral:rRNA from 1 species
UCGUCAGCUCGUGUCGUGAGAUGUUGGGUUAAGUCCCGCAACGAGCGCAACCCUUAUCCUUAGUAGCCAGCAGGUAGAGCUGGGCACUCUAGGGAGACUGCCAGGGAUAACCUGGAGGAAGGUGGGGAUGACGUCAAAUCAUCAUGCCCCUUAUGAUUUGGGCUACACACGUGCUACAAUGGCGUAAACAAAGGGAAGCGAGAGUGUGAGCUGGAGCAAAUCCCAAAAAUAACGUCUCAGUUCGGACUGCAGGCUGCAACCCGCCUGCACGAAGCUGGAAUCGCUAGUAAUCGCGAAUCAGAAUGUCGCGGUGAAUACGUUCCCGGGUCUUGUACACACCGCCCGUCACACCAUGGGAGUCAGUAACGCCCGAAGUCAGUGACCGAACCGAAAGGGAGGAGCUGCCGAAGGCGGGACGGAUAACUGGGGUGAAGUCGUAACAAGGUAGCCGUAUCGGAAGGUGCGGUUGGAUCACCUC